CGCGUAGACGGUUGUCUAAGUCUGGAGUGAAAGUCCAGCUUUCAAGGUGGGAAUUGCUUUGGAGACUGGAUGACUUGAGUGCGGAAGAGGUAAGUGGAAUUCCCAGUGUAGCGGUGAAAUGCGUAGAGAUUGGGAAGAACACCAGUGGCGAAGGCGACUUACUGGGCCGUAACUGACGUUGAUGCGCGAAAGCGUGGGGAGCGAACAG
rnacentral:rRNA from 1 species